ensembl:lncRNA
GUUAGGUGAGAGUUUGCAUGAUUCAGUGUGUAAGGGAACAUACUUGAUAGAGAGCCAUACUUUGUGAUCAGGUUAAUAACGGGGUUCAGGAGUCCAACGAUGGUCUGCACAUUGUUUAUUUCACUCCUCGGUCUGAGCAGCCCGUGUCACCCUUAGAGUUGCUGACACCAGCUGAGAUGGUGCUGAACUGACGACACAGAGCACUUACUUUCAAUAGAAGAAAACAGGGGUGGCUAAGAGCCCCAGGAUGAUUUGAAGCAUGGGUGUCCAGUGGGUGAUGAAGUCAAAGAGUUGUAAGAAUACUCUGUCCACACUAGCUGAGAGAUGCAGGUCUGAUAAGACUUGUUGCUGCAAGAAAGCCAUUACUAAGACAUCAGAAUAAGACACAGAGGCUUGCCUGGGCGAUGAAACACCGCCAUGGACUGGAAGAUGUUAUUAUGGACUGAUGGAGCAAAAUGUAAAACAUGGAGGAGGAAGUGUGAUGGUCUGGGCCUGUUUUGCUGGAUCCAGGGUCGGUGACUUGUACAGAGUGAUAGGCACCCUGAACCAGCUCCAUGCAAUACCUCUGGCAUGUACCAAGUUGGUCAAGGGUUCAUCCUACAGGAAGGUAAUAACCCAGAACAUAAGUCCAAGCUAUGCCAGAACUACUUCAGGAAAAAAGAACAAGUAAAGGUGUUUGCUGCCUGGCUGUGGUGCUCCUUGUUCGUUUGGGUCUCCUGAGUGACCAGAGACCAGAGAGACACUCUGAGCCAGAGAGACUGAAGUCCAUGGCACCACGGAAAAAAGUGAAAUUGAAAUUGUAACAGGUUGAUAUAAAAUUGUGAAAACUUGGCAUCUUUGUCUUCCUUCUCAUUAUUAACCUAGCAAGGGCGAGUGGGGGAUUUCUUUUUUUAUUAGAGAUUAUGUAUCGGAAUUUCAGGAGCGGGACCACGUCUCCAAACACGCUCCCUCCAGUUGUCAUCUAUAGGUUCCCCCAGUUCUGUAAGCUGUUCAUUCUCGUUUACGUGCCCCACCCUCCCUCCCUCCUUGUUCUCAGUUCUUUAACUUCUUCAUUUCUAUUUAGUACAUUGGGAUCUGCCAGGCCCGGGAGCCGUCGCAGGUGGACGCGAUGGAGGAGGCACACUUGCACACAGGAAUUUUUUUCAUCCCACAUACAAUUUGUUUACAAAAUACCGAUACUAGUUUAGGUCUGGUUGAAACACAAACCACUGGGUCAAAGACCCAGAAUCAUCACACUUAUGCUUCAGCCAGCUACACAAAGGGUUUGCUUUCUUGCCUCUUUUAUUAGUUUUUUUUCUGCUUUGCUAUAUCAGUGUUAGUCCCUAUGAGACCAUUGAUUCUUGCAGCAUUAAGUGUUGUGAUUUUUUGAUUCAAGUGAAGUGCUUUUUGAACUUUUUGAAAGCAACUGACUCACAUAGUUAUGUUGAUAUCCCAGUCUCAAUAAACAUAUUCCGCAAUGCUUCCGCUUGUUUGUGAUGCUCCUACGAACUGACCAGUAGCCAUCAGGUUGCUGUUAGAAGCACUGCAUUAAAGAAGAAAUAAAAUAAAAUGUAAAAAAUAAAAAAAAGAGAAAAGCACUGUGUGUUUUGUUUUUUGUUUUGUUUUCUACAAACAAACAAACAGUCAUAUUCAAAGUAAUCUCAAAUUAGACUCUUGCACUUUCUCCCAAUGUUUCCU